AUCUGGACAGCAAAGUGGAUAUGGUAAUGGCGUGUCCUUUUCUCAUUCGAAGCUUCUUCACUUCGGAUUUUGCAAUGCAGGCGCUUCUUUAACUGCCUCUGGUUACUGUGCUAUCAGGUUAUAUUUCACUCAGCCAAAAGAAUGAGAUAGAGGAGUAAUGAAUGAUUUGGAAUCAAUUGCUCCAUCCACAAAUUAUUUAAUGAAAUGCUGUUGUAGAUGGUUAGUUUUAAGUGUUAUAUAGAUCGUUGUUGUGAAGGCUUUCCGUAUGCUGUCAUGCAAAAUCAAUAUACUCUUUAUAAAAGGGCCUCUUUCAAGUUUGGAAAGAAUCCAGGUGGAGAACUUGAUUCCAGAAUUUCCUGUAUGGCACCCAGCUUGCAUCCUGAUAGAACUUUUGCUAAAUCUUUCUUUUGCAUGAGGGCCAAAAUUCAAUCUGUCAGUAACAGUACAGGUUUGGGCUUUUUAAAAAUUAGCCACACACAACAACCUCCAAAAAUCAGAGGUGUCAUUGAUGGCAAUCAAGGGGAAUUAUCUGAUGAAGAUGACGAUCUCUGUCCAGUUGAAUGUGUUAGAGAAUUUAAGACCGAUGAAGAGUUCUUCAAAAUUCUUGAAAUGGCCAAAGAAACAGAUUCUUUAGUUGUGGUAGAUUUUUAUCGAACUUCUUGUGGAAGCUGCAAGUAUAUAGAGCAAGGGUUUGCGAAAUUAUGCAGGGGUUCUGGUGAUGAGGAAGCUCCAGUAAUCUUCUUAAAACAUAAUGUAAUUGAUGAGUAUGAUGAACAAUCUGAGGUAGCUGAACGAUUAAGAAUAAAGACGGUUCCCCUUUUCCACUUCUACAAAAAUGGAGUUCUACUUGAAGCAUUCCCGACCAGAGACAAAGAGAGGAUUCUUGCAGCCAUUAUGAAAUACUCAUCAUCUACAUGAUUAAACUAAUCCGAUUAUGUCUUCACAGCUUUUCUUCAGAAGUAAAAUAAUAAGGAUGUGCUGUUGAAUGGCAGACAGAAGUGAUUAUUAUAUAGAUGAGUGAUUUUCAACACUACCUGAACUUGGAGACCAAAUGGUGGGUCAUGACAAGCAUCUCCAGCUUGGCAAGCUCAUUUCCAGGACAGGAAUGUACUCCACUUCCAAAUGGCGUAAAUGUGUUGGGUUUUUGCGCAACCUUCAUAUACCAUAAAAAAACAAACAAAAUUUCAGGAAAAAACUCGUGUUUUAAAACUCAGAAACACCUUAACCAUAAACACUGUGCAAAAAUCUUAGAAGUGCUUUAGCCUUACGCGUAUGCACUUUCAUAAAAAACACAAGAAAAAAAGAAACACAAACACAAACACAAACAUCUUUGCCAGCUCAUACCUCAAAUCUUGAAGGAUCAAAUUUUUGAGGAUCAGGAAAAAAUUCUGGAUUGUGAUGAAUGUUCCUGAACAAAGGCAUCACUUUCCAUCCUUUUGGAAUCAGGUACCCUGUGGUCAAUCCUACCGUUAGAUAUCUCCUUAAAUUGUCAUUUUCUUGUUAAUAAUCACUCAAAACUAUUGGCUGCUAUAAAAUUAAUGUCAAGAUAUGUCCAAGUUUUUUUUUGGGUUCAGAAUUCAUUUGGUUAUCCAAAUAUAGAAAGAUGACCUUUGAUUCAGAGUUAAAGAGUUGCAUGCCCAGACAGCACUUCUGGGGUGAAAUAGUCCCAUUUUUCCUUCCUGAA